rnacentral:rRNA from 1 species
AUUAUACCGUGAAACUGCGAAUGGCUCAUUAAAUCAGUUAUCGUUUAUUUGAUAGUACCUUACUACUUGGAUACCUGUGGUAAUUCUAGAGCUAAUACAUGCUAAAAACCCCGACUUCGGAAGGGGUGUAUUUAUUAGAUAAAAAACCAAUGCCCUUCGGGGCUCCUUGGUGAUUCAUAAUAACUUCUCAGAUCGCAUGGCCUUGCGCCGGCGACGGUUCAUUCAAAUUUCUGCCCUAUCAACUUUCGAUGGUAAGGUAUUGGCUUACCAUGGUGGCAACGGGUAACGGGGAAUUAGGGUUCGAUUCCGGAGAGUUAGCCUGAGAAACGGCUAACACAUCCAAGGAAGGCAGCAGGCGCGCAAAUUACCCAAUCCCGAUACGGGGAGGUAGUGACAAUAAAUACUGAUACAGGGCUCUUUUGGGUCUUGUAAUUGGAAUGAGUACAAUUUAAACCUCUUAACGAGGAACAAUUGGAGGGCAAGUCUGGUGCCAGCAGCCGCGGUAAUUCCAGCUCCAAUAGCGUAUAUUAAAGUUGUUGCAGUUAAAAAGCUCGUAGUUGAACCUUUGGCCUGGCUGGCAGGUCCGCCUCACCGCGUGCACUUGUCCGGCCGGGCCUUUUCUUCUGGAGAACCGCAUGCCCUUCACUGGGUGUGUUGGGGACCAGGACUUUUACUUUGAAAAAAUUAGAGUGUUCAAAGCAGGCCUUUGCUCGAAUAUUACAGCAUGGAAUAAUAGAAUAGGACGUGCGGUUCUAUUUUGUUGGUUUCUAGGACCGCCGUAAUGAUUAAUAGGGACAGUCGGGGGCAUCAGUAUUCAAUUGUCAGAGGUGAAAUUCUUGGAUUUAUUGAAGACUAACUACUGCGAAAGCAUUUGCCAAGGAUGUUUUCAUUAAUCAGUGAACGAAAGUUAGGGGAUCGAAGACGAUCAGAUACCGUCGUAGUCUUAACCAUAAACUAUGCCGACUAGGGAUCGGGCGGUGUUAUUAUUUUGACUCGCUCGGCACCUUACGAGAAAUCAAAGUG